rnacentral:rRNA from 1 species
GAUGAACGCUGGCGGCGUGCCUAAUACAUGCAAGUCGAGCGAACAGACGAGGAGCUUGCUCCUCUGACGUUAGCGGCGGACGGGUGAGUAACACGUGGAUAACCUACCUAUAAGACUGGGAUAACUUCGGGAAACCGGAGCUAAUACCGGAUAAUAUAUUGAACCGCAUGGUUCAAUAGUGAAAGACGGUUUUGCUGUCACUUAUAAAUGGAUCCGCGCCGCAUUAGCUAGUUGGUAAGGUAACGGCUUACCAAGGCAGCGAUGCGUAGCCGACCUGAGAGGGUGAUCGGCCACACUGGAACUGAGACACGGUCCAGACUCCUACGGGAGGCAGCAGUAGGGAAUCUUCCGCAAUGGGCGAAAGCCUGACGGAGCAACGCCGCGUGAGUGAUGAAGGUCUUCGGAUCGUAAAACUCUGUUAUUAGGGAAGAACAAAUGUGUAAGUAACUAUGCACGUCUUGACGGUACCUAAUCAGAAAGCCACGGCUAACUACGUG